GGAAAAUAAAAAUUAAGGGAGAUUUUAAAGGUUCUCACAAAAAAACAGACAGAGCUUUCAAGAAUCGCAGGGCAAUGAAUCAUGGAUCACAAAAUUGUAAGUUAGUUUUUUUUUAAAAAAAAAAAAAAAA
rnacentral:antisense_RNA from 1 species